AACGAACGCUGGCGGCAGGCUUAACACAUGCAAGUCGAACGCCCCGCAAGGGGAGUGGCAGACGGGUGAGUAACGCGUGGGAACGUACCUUUCAGUUCGGAAUAACUCAGGGAAACUUGUGCUAAUACCGGAUACGCCCGCAAGGGGGAAAGAUUUAUCGCUGAAAGAUCGGCCCGCGUUGGAUUAGCUAGUUGGUGGGGUAAAGGCCUACCAAGGCGACGAUCCAUAGCUGGUCUGAGAGGAUGAUCAGCCACACUGGGACUGAGACACGGCCCAGACUCCUACGGGAGGCAGCAGUGGGGAAUAUUGGACAAUGGGCGCAAGCCUGAUCCAGCCAUGCCGCGUGUGUGAUGAAGGCCUUAGGGUUGUAAAGCACUUUCACCGAUGAAGAUAAUGACGGUAGUCGGAGAAGAAGCCCCGGCUAACUUCGUG
rnacentral:rRNA from 1 species